CGUGGGAAUGGGGUGCAGAGAGCAAAGAAAUGUGGCUUUGAUCCUAUGGACGCCUUACUUUUUACAUUAUUUGUAUAGUUCUUGCAGUGAGCUUUCCCGACCACGGUCUCCUAUGUUUCCUAAGAAAAGCAAAAAGGGAAGAGAUUGAAGAGAAAGUAGUAGUGUCUGAUUUUCAACUGCAAACUUUCAUCCAUUAGCUUUCAGCUUAAGCAAAUGUGGGCAAAGUGGUCACGGAUCUUUGCAGUAAGAACGAACCAAGCAAGAAGACUGAAUCCCAAGUUGUCUGGUGUAAAUAGAAGCAGUUUCUGUGAUAGUUCCAUGCAGUCAGAAGGGUCAUCCUGGCUUAGGAGAGGGGCAGAAGGGGAAACGCAGGCAUGGAAACAGGAGUGGGCAAGGAGGAUGUGACACUCUCCUCCUCACCAGGCCACGUUCCUGGCACCAACCAUAGUGUUUGGGCAGAUUAGAAAAGAAACAAUUUGCUGAAACUCCCUCUGCUUACAACAAAACUGACUGAAAUCAGCUGGAAUCAAUACGGCCAAAUGGAGUUUGCACACAGCAAGCUUGCUGAUGUCACAGCCUGAAUUUUUACCACAUGUUUCAUACCAACUCCCUCCGAAUUUGCACAUGGGACCUACAAGGAAGCUUGAAGACCUCCCAGAUGUCCCCUUUGCUUCCACCAAUUACCUGCUAACACCAGGAUCCACCCCUAAACCUUUUGUAAUAAAAUCACUGCUUUAAAGCCAGUACAAGCAGACAGAUUUGAACUGGACUCCUGUUUCCUCAGAAGUUGACUUGCAAUAUGAAACUUUUCUUUUCUCAAAAACUUGGUGUCAUACUGUUGAUUUCUAGUGCGGUGAGCCCCUUUUGCUGGGUAACACUACCUGGUAAUUUGACAUACUGGGUGGUUAGUAACUACUGACUGCCUCCAGGUGACAACACAGUUAUUACCCACCUGGGUGAAAAGAGAAGACAGGAAAUACAUAUUGGAGUCAGCUGGCAACCUGUUUACAAAGCAAUUCACAACAGUUCCUUAUUCUUAAGGGGUUAUUCUAAUGUAGACCUCAGAGAAACAGUGCAGUGUAACAAAGGAGGAAUUUAUCAAAAGACACAGAAAAAGCAUCAAGGCAAGCUGUGAAAUGGUGGGGUAGGAACCAAAUAGAGAGCCAAAAGAUCUGUCACUGCAGCCCCUUAGGGUGAGCAGACCCUUCCCCUGAGCCCUGGUCUCCUUAUCUGUCAAUGAGAAUACCAGCACCCACCUCGUUCUGCCGUAAACAUGAUGAGAUCCAACAAUAAUUUAUAAAUUGUAAAAUCACACAAAUCUAA